AUCAAGUGUGCACAUGUUAUAAAACUGGGAUGGAGUAGCUCACCCAUUCAAAGAUACGAACAGAAUUCAUAAGUUGAACAUGAGCCAGCAGUGCAAUGCUGCAGUAAAGAAGGCAAAUGCUAUUGUAGCCUGCAUUAAUAGAAGCAUCGUUUCCAUGUCAAGGGGAGUCAUAGUUACACUUCAUUCUGUGCUGGUCUGGUCUCAUCUGGGAUCCUGCAUUUAGUUCUGGGCACCUCAUUUUAAGGAGAGAGACAAGUUGGAGCAGGUUCAGAUAACUGUCCCAUGGCAGUUGUCCCCUGAAUCAGGAAACAAGAGACCCAUUUGCCAUCCAUUCUUGUUUCCUUCCACAGAACGGCCAGAUCCAUGUCGGCUAUCAAGACUUGAUGGAGAACUACCAGCUCCUAGUGGUAAACAUGGCGAAACAGAGAGAAGAGAAGGAUGUAAAGCUGGUCUUGAAUCUCUUCCAGUCCCUCCUGGAUGAAUUUGCUCGUAGCUAUGCCAAGAAGGAGGAACUGGAGCAGCCAAAGCAAAGCAAGGCCCAAAAGAAGAAGCGGAAACAGGAACGGGUGAUUGAGGAGCUCAAUGGCCAUGUCUUUGUGAGCUACCAAG